UACGUAUGGGGCGAGCGUUGUCCGGAAUUAUUGGGCGUAAAGGGUACGUAGGCGGUUUCAUAAGUCAGAUGUAAAAGCGUGGGGCUCAACCCCAUAAAGCAUUUGAAACUGUGGAACUUGAGUAGCGGAGAGGGAAGUGGAAUUCCUAGUGUAGCGGUGAAAUGCGUAGAUAUUAGGAGGAAUACCAGUGGCGAAGGCGACUUUCUGGACACAAACUGACGCUGAGGUACGAAAGCAUGGGGAGCAAACAGGAUUAGAUACCCGCGUAGUCCCUGAGCGGG
rnacentral:rRNA from 1 species